rnacentral:tRNA from 1 species
GGCACUUUGGCGGAGUGGUUAACGCGAUGCCCUGCUAUCUACACACCACAGAUAUCAGUUACUAUAGGCAUUUCCUUCGGGAGCGUGUGUUCGAAUCACACAGGUGUCG